GGAGGGGUGGCAGAGUGGUCGAAUGCACCGGUCUUGAAAACCGGCAGGCGUUAAUAGCGCCUCGAGAGUUCAAAUCUCUCCUCCUCCGCCA
rnacentral:tRNA from 1 species